rnacentral:rRNA from 1 species
GCCAGACUCCUACGGGAGGCAGCAGUGGGGGAUAUUGCACAAUGGGGGGAACCCUGAUGCAGCGACGCCGCGUGGGUGAGGAAGUACCCCGGUAUGUAAAGCCCUUUCGGCAGGGAAGAAAAUGACGGUACCUGGCGAAGAAGCCCCGGCUAACUACGUGCCAGCAGCCGCGGUAAUACGUAGGGGGCAAGCGUUAUCCGGAUUCACUGGGUGUAAAGGGAGCGCAGGCGGUACGGCGAGUCUGAUGUGAAAACCCGGGGCCCAACCCCGGGACCGCACCGGAUACUGCCGGACUCGAGUGCCGGAGGGGCAGGCGGAAUUCCUGGUGUAGCGGUGAAAUGCGUAGAUAUUAGGAGGAACACCAGUGGCGAAGGCGGCUUACUGGACUGUAACUGACGUUGAGGCUCGAAAGCGUGGGGAGCAAACAGGAUUAGAUACCCUCGUA